rnacentral:ncRNA from 1 species
UCGCCCACAAUGCCUCUCACGGGUUCAACACGGAUGUGGCUUGGUGUGCGGUGUGAGCGGACAUCUUUUACCAAGCCGGUCGGCAGAUUGCCGGGUCCCUGCGAAGGGGCAUCCCUGUUGGAGUCGUGUCGACGAUCGCGUCGUCGAGUCGAUUCCUCCUUUGGUCUCCUCGCGCUAACCCCGUAGCGUGUGGUUUUUAGCGGGCUCCAGGCCCGCUUUUUUUU